rnacentral:ncRNA from 1 species
AACAGGGAUUGCCCUAGUAACGGCGAGUGAAGCGGCAACAGCUCAAAUUUGAAAUCUGGCUCUCGGGCCCGAGUUGUAAUUUGUAGAGGAUACUUUUGAUGCGGUGCCUUCCGAGUUCCCUGGAACGGGACGCCAUAGAGGGUGAGAGCCCCGUCUGGUUGGAUGCCAAAUCUCUGUAAAGUUCCUUCGACGAGUCGAGUAGUUUGGGAAUGCUGCUCUAAAUGGGAGGUAUAUGUCUUCUAAAGCUAAAUACCGGCCAGAGACCGAUAGCGCACAAGUAGAGUGAUCGAAAGAUGAAAAGCACUUUGAAAAGAGAGUUAAAAAGUACGUGAAAUUGUUGAAAGGGAAGCGUUUAUGACCAGACUUGGGCUUGGUUAAUCAUCUGGGGUUCUCCCCAGUGCACUUUUCCAGUCCAGGCCAGCAUCAGUUUUCCCCGGGGGAUAAAGACUUCGGGAAUGUGGCUCUCUUCGGGGAGUGUUAUAGCCCGUUGUGUAAUACCCUGGGGGGGACUGAGGUUCGCGCAUCUGCAAGGAUGCUGGCGUAAUGGUCAUCAACGACCCGUCUUGAAACACGGACCAAGGAGUCG